rnacentral:rRNA from 1 species
AGUACGGCGGAACACGAGAAAUUCCGUCGGAAUCCGCGGGGACCAUCCCGCAAGGCUAAAUACUCCCUAGUGACCGAUAGUGAACCAGUACCGUGAGGGAAAGGUGAAAAGCACCCCGGAAGGGGAGUGAAAUAGAUCCUGAAACCGUGUGCCUACAACAAGUCAAAGCUCGUUAAUGAGUGAUGGCGUGCCUUUUGUAGAAUGAACCGGCGAGUUACGAUUGCAUGCGAGGUUAAGUCGAAGAGACGGAGCCGCAGCGAAAGCGAGUCUGAAUAGGGCGAAUGAGUAUGUAGUCGUAGACCCGAAACCAUGUGAUCUACCCAUGUCCAGGUUGAAGGUGCGGUAAAACGCACUGGAGGACCGAACCCACGUACGUUGAAAAGUGCGGGGAUGAGGUGUGGGUAGCGGAGAAAUUCCAAACGAACUUGGAGAUAGCUGGUUCUCUCCGAAAUAGCUUUAGGGCUAGCCUCGGAAUUGAGAAUGAUGGAGGUAGAGCACUGUUUGGACUAGGGGCCCAUCUCGGGUUACCGAAUUCAGAUAAACUCCGAAUGCCAUUCAUUUAUAUCCGGGAGUCAGACUGCGAGUGAUAAGAUCCGUAGUCGAAAGGGAAACAGCCCAGACCACCAGCUAAGGUCCCAAAAUAUAUGUUAAGUGGAAAAGGAUGUGGGGUUGCACAGACAACUAGGAUGUUGGCUUAGAAGCAGCCACCAUUUAAAGAGUGCGUAAUAGCUCACUAGUCGAGUGACCCUGCGCCGAAAAUGUACCGGGGCUAAACAUAUUACCGAAGCUGUGGACUACACCAUUAGGUGUAGUGGUAGGAGAGCGUUCUAAGGGCGUUGAAGGUCGAUCGUGAGGACGGCUGGAGCGCUUAGAAGUGAGAAUGCCGGUAUGAGUAGCGAAAGACAGGUGAGAAUCCUGUCCACCGUAUGACUAAGGUUUCCUGGGGAAGGCUCGUCCGCCCAGGGUUAGUCGGGACCUAAGCCGAGGCCGAUAGGCGUAGGCGAUGGACAACAGGUUGAUAUUCCUGUACCAGUUGUUUUUGUUUGAGCAAUGGAGGGACGCAGUAGGCUAAGGAAUGCAUGCGAUUGGAAGUGCAUGUCCAAGCAAUGAGUCUUGAGUAGAGUUAAAUGCUUUACUCUUUAAGGACAAGUUGUGACGGGGAGCGAAAUAAUAGUAGCGAAGUUCCUGAUGUCACACUGCCAAGAAAAGCUUCUAGUGAGAAAACAACUGCCCGUACCGUAAACCGACACAGGUAGUCGAGGAGAGUAUCCUAAGGUGAGCGAGCGAACUCUCGUUAAGGAACUCGGCAAAAUGACCCCGUAACUUCGGGAGAAGGGGUGCUGACGA